AACCUGAACCUCACCUAGCACAGCUUAAGACUGUGUCCUCUUGUCCUGUCACUUGUUACUUGGGAGGUUUGUCCCCACCUGUGUUUGUCCCCACACCCUCCUUUCAGGUUGUUCCAGACAUCAAUAAGGUCUCCCCUUAGCCUCCUUUUCUCAGGCUAAACAACCCCAGCUCCCUCAGCUGGUCUUCAGAGGACUCGUGCUCCAGACCCUUCACCAGCUCUGCUGCCCUUCUCUGGACUCGUUCCAGACCCUCAAUGUCCUUCCUGAAUUGAGGGGGUCCAGAACUGGACGCAGCACUCAAGGUGUGGUGUCACUAGUACCAAGUGCAGGGGAAGAAUCUUUACUGUCACCAUUAUCUGAUGAACUAAUACCAUGCAUUUCAGUCAUAUAUGUAGCAACAAAACUUCUGCUCUCUCCUAUUGCUAUUUAGCUUUGGAGUAAGUCUGUGAAAGCUCCCAGGUGUGGAGGAACCAAUGUAUCAGUUUUCCUCUGCAUCUAAGUGGUCUGUAGGUCCAGUGUCAGUAGACAUAGAUCUAUUUCUUUUCUUCAGUGCUCCAUUUCACUUCACCCACGGUGAUGAAAAAUACAGCAAGGAUUGGGCAAUCAUUAAGAGGGUAAAAAGCAACUCAUGAAAGGGCAGCAUAAAGCUCUGAUACUCUCUAGUUGCAUGUUCUAGACUACUUAUAGUGGAAUCACUGUGCUUACAGCUUAAUGUAUUGAUCUGUUUUAACUGUUCUAGAUAUUGCUGGGAUGCCUGUUCCUCUUUUUCUUGGGAGUUCUCGAUUUGUCUGACGAUCCAAACAUCUAUCAAAACCUGACAAGCGCCUUUCAAAACUCUGUACCCAGAGAUAAUAAGAUACAUCAGUGCUAAUCUGCAGCCACAAAGAGUCCUGUACAAAGCAGAAACAUCUGGCAAUUGCAAAAUACAGAAGAGCUACAGUAAUAUGAAAUAUUUAUCUUCAAUUGCAAGUUUCUGGAAAAACGUCUUGAUUACAUACUUCGAAAUUUUCCCUUUAAUAGGCUGGUUUUCUUGUUGAAUGUAUUAUUAAAAAAAAACCCCUUUUCUUAGGAUAUAAUUAAAUGCAUUAAAUAGCAGUUUUCUUUUAGUUUAUUCUUAGUGUUCUGCACAAAAGAUAAGAAUCUGAGUUAUAUGUCAUUAUGUAAUUAUUUCACCAGACCAUAUUAACAUCUUGAAACACAUUUUGAGUCAUUCUAAAUUCUGGUGGAUUUUCUAGGAAUUUCUUUUGUGUACGUGCUGUUUUGAGACUGUGGGACUUAUAAAAUUCUGUGACUCCUUUAGUACAGUAAACUAGGCAGCAUAGCUCAGCUUCUCUGAGUAGGUGACCUCUAGGGGAAGCAGAUUAAGAUAUAAUAAUUAAUACUUUCUUAAGUCACCUCAGUUUCUAAAGCAUCUCAAAUACAGACUUGAGGAUGAGGUCCUGCCUAAAUUAAACAUAGGCAUAACUGAAUAAUAGAAUUAACAAAUGUCCCAGUCUUUGACUUUUUUGAAGGUGUACAGGAUGAGAAGAAGUUAGGUUUGACUUUUGUGGAUUUUAUUCCCCUUGUCUGCUGGGUAACUUUAAAAUCCUGCAAAAAGAAAUGUACAUGAAAGCCAGGAAAUUCUAAGAAGCACAAACAUUUUACCUUCCCUCCACAUCCACUCCCUCUUCAUCCUUUCUUUGCAUAACCUGUUUUCCCACUUCUUAUCUAUGCUUACUUUGUCAGGCCUCCGAAACUUCAUUAAAAAGUUUCUCUUUCCAGUCCUGUUCUAUUUUGACUGAUAAAUCUGCAUAUUUGAAGAUAAAAAGUUAAUAAGAAAAGAAAGGUGUUUUGUGGGUUAAAAGCCAUUUUGCUUUUCCUUACAUUGAGGGAAAGGUGCUUUAUGUUUAGAUAACUAUCCACCUCAUGCAAGCACCUUCAAAAUAAGUCUUCCAAACAGAUUACACCUCUAUUCUCAAAGAAGAAAGAAUAUUUUCCGCUCUAUCAUACUGCAUUUUGUCAGAUCUUACAAGAUAAAUACAAUUUUAAUCCAGAUGUGAACCUAGGUCAAGCACAGAUUAUAAAGCUUAAUAAAUAAGGAAAAAUCUGGAAAAGAAAUAUCUGA
rnacentral:lncRNA from 1 species